rnacentral:rRNA from 1 species
UACGUAGGGGGCAAGCGUUGUCCGGAAUCAUUGGGCGUAAAGAGCGUGUAGGCGGCUUGGUAAGUCCGCUGUGAAAGUCCAGGGCUCAACCCUGGAAUGCCAGUGGAAACUGUCAAGCUUGAGUCCGGAAGAGGCGAGUGGAAUUCCUGGUGUAGCGGUGAAAUGCGCAGAUAUCAGGAGGAACACCAAUGGCGAAGGCAGCUCGCUGGGACGGUACUGACGCUGAGACGCGAAAGCGUGGGGAGCAAACAGG